rnacentral:rRNA from 1 species
UGGGGAAUAUUGGACAAUGGGCGCAAGCCUGAUCCAGCAAUGCCGCGUGUGUGAAGAAGGCCUGAGGGUUGUAAAGCACUUUCGUUUUUGAAGAAGUGAUAUUGGUUAAGAGCUGAUAUUAUUGACGUUAGAGAAAGAAGAAGCACCGGCUAACUCUGUGCCAGCAGCCGCGGUAAUACAGAGGGUGCGAGCGUUAAUCGGAAUUACUGGGCGUAAAGGGUGCGUAGGUGGUUUAGUAAGUAACAUGUGAAAGUCCUGAGCUUAACUUGGGGAUUGCGUGUUAAACUGCUGGGCUAGAGUGUUGUAGAGGAUGGCGGAAUUUCCGGUGUAGCGGUGAAAUGCGUAGAUAUCGGAAGGAACAUCAGUGGCGAAGGCGGCUAUCUGGACAACAACUGACACUGAGGCACGAAAGCGUGGGGAGCAAACAGGAUUAGAUACCCCCGUAGUCC